rnacentral:rRNA from 1 species
AGAGUUUGAUCCUGGCUCAGGAUGAACGCUAGCGGGAGGCUUAACACAUGCAAGUCGAGGGGCAGCACAAGUAGCAAUACUUGGUGGCGACCGGCGAACGGGUGAGUAACGCGUAUGCAACCUACCUUAAACUGGGAAAUAGCCCGAAGAAAUUCGGAUUAAUGUCCCAUAAUAUUCAGAAAUCGCAUGAUUUUUGAAUUAAAGCUCCGGCGGUUUAAGAUGGGCAUGCGUGACAUUAGUUAGUUGGUGAGGUAAUGGCUCACCAAGACAAUGAUGUCUAGGGGGCCUGAGAGGGUGAUCCCCCACACUGGUACUGAGACACGGACCAGACUCCUACGGGAGGCAGCAGUGAGGAAUAUUGGGCAAUGGACGCAAGUCUGACCCAGCCAUCCCGCGUGCAGGAUGACAGCCCUAUGGGUUGUAAACUGCUUUUAUACUCCACGAAACCCAUGUUCGUGAACAUGGCUGACUGUAGAGUAAGAAUAAGCAUCGGCUAACUCCGUGCCAGCAGCCGCGGUAAUACGGAGGAUGCAGGCGUUAUCCGGAUUUAUUGGGUUUAAAGGGUGCGUAGGCGGAAAUGUAAGUCAGUGGUGAAAUCCUACAGCUUAACUGUAGAACUGCCAUUGAUACUGUAUUUCUUGAGUAUAUUUGAGGUAGGCGGAACGUGUCAUGUAGCGGUGAAAUGCUUAGAUAUGACACAGAACACCGAUUGCGUAGGCAGCUUACUAAACUAUUACUGACGCUGAGGCACGAAAGCGUGGGGAGCAAACAGGAUUAGAUACCCUGGUAGUCCACGCCGUAAACUAUGAUUACUCGUUGUGUGCGAUAUACCGUACGUGACUGAGCGAAAGCAUUAAGUAAUCCACCUGGGGAGUACGACCGCAAGGUUGAAACUCAAAGGAAUUGACGGGGGCCCGCACAAGCGGAGGAACAUGUGGUUUAAUUCGAUGAUACGCGAGGAACCUUACCUGGGCUUAAAUGUAGACGGCUUUCAAUCGAAAGAUUGUUUUCCUUCGGGACUGUUUACAAGGUGCUGCAUGGUUGUCGUCAGCUCGUGCCGUGAGGUGUCGGGUUAAGUCCCAUAACGAGCGCAACCCUCAUCAUUAGUUGCCAUCGAGUAAUGUCGGGAACUCUAAUGAGACUGCCGGUGUAAACCGCGAGGAAGGUGAGGAUGACGUCAAAUCAGCACGGCCCUUAUGUCCAGGGCUACACACGUGUUACAAUGGCCAGUACAAAGGGACGCUACCUGGUGACAGGAUGCAAAUCUCUAAAAUUGGUCUCAGUUCGGAUCGAAGUCUGCAACCCGACUUCGUGAAGUUGGAUUCGCUAGUAAUCGCGCAUCAGCCAUGGCGCGGUGAAUACGUUCCCGGGCCUUGUACACACCGCCCGUCAAGCCAUGGAAGCCGAGGGUACCUGAAGUCUGUAACCGCAAGGAGCGGCCUAGGGUAAAAUUGGUAACUGGGGCUAAGUCGUAACAAGGUAACC